rnacentral:sRNA from 1 species
CUUGACCGACCCGAGCAGCAGCGGCGUGUCCCGGUCGCGGCCGUAGGUGGCCAGCAACGCCUGCACCUC